AUGUUGUAUGAAAGGAGAGAAGGUUAGCACUCCCCUUGACAAGGAUGGAAGAGGCUCUUGAGCCUAACAACACACAUACGGAAAAGAAAAAAGUAAGAUUUGGACCCGUUCCACUGGACUUU